rnacentral:rRNA from 1 species
UCGGGAAUUUUGCGCAAUGGGCUAACGCCUGACGCAGCAACGCCGCGUGGAGGAUGAAGGUCUUUGGAUUGUAAACUCCUGUCAGCGGGGAAAAAGCAACCCGACCUCAUACGUCGGGAAGUUGAUUGUACCCGCAGAGGAAGCCCCGGCUAACUCUGUGCCAGCAGCCGCGGUAAUACAGAGGGGGCAAGCGUUAUUCGGAAUUAUUGGGCGUAAAGGGCGCGUAGGCGGCUUGGCAAGUGGAAGGUGAAAUCCCUCGGCUUAACCGAGGAACUGCCCUCCAAACUGCUUUGCUUGAGGCCGGGAGAGGCGAGUGGAAUUCCCAGUGUAGCGGUGAAAUGCGUAGAUAUUGGGAGGAACACCAGUGGCGAAGGCGGCUCGCUGGACCGGUUCUGACGCUGAGGCGCGAAAGCGUGGGGAGCAAAC